AGAGUUUGAUCCUGGCUCAGGAUGAACGCUAGCGACAGGCCUAACACAUGCAAGUCGAGGGGCAGCGGAGAGGUAGCAAUACCUUUGCCGGCGACCGGCGCACGGGUGAGUAACACGUAUGCAAUCCACCUGUAACAGGGGGAUAACCCGGAGAAAUCCGGACUAAUACCCCAUAAUAUGGGCGCUCCGCAUGGAGAGCCCAUUAAAGAGAGCAAUUUUGGUUACAGACGAGCAUGCGCUCCAUUAGCCAGUUGGCGGGGUAACGGCCCACCAAAGCGACGAUGGAUAGGGGUUCUGAGAGGAAGGUCCCCCACAUUGGAACUGAGACACGGUCCAAACUCCUACGGGAGGCAGCAGUGAGGAAUAUUGGUCAAUGGUCGGCAGACUGAACCAGCCAAGUCGCGUGAGGGAAGACGGCCCUACGGGUUGUAAACCUCUUUUGUCGGAGAGUAAAGUACGCUACGUGUAGCGUAUUGCAAGUAUCCGAAGAAAAAGCAUCGGCUAACUCCGUGCCAGCAGCCGCGGUAAUACGGAGGAUGCGAGCGUUAUCCGGAUUUAUUGGGUUUAAAGGGUGCGUAGGCGGCACGCCAAGUCAGCGGUGAAAUUUCCGGGCUCAACCCGGAGUGUGCCGUUGAAACUGGCGAGCUAGAGUACACAAGAGGCAGGCGGAAUGCGUGGUGUAGCGGUGAAAUGCAUAGAUAUCACGCAGAACCCCGAUUGCGAAGGCAGCCUGCUAGGGUGAAACAGACGCUGAGGCACGAAAGCGUGGGUAUCGAACAGGAUUAGAUACCCUGGUAGUCCACGCAGUAAACGAUGAAUACUAACUGUUUGCGAUACAAUGUAAGCGGUACAGCGAAAGCGUUAAGUAUUCCACCUGGGGAGUACGCCGGCAACGGUGAAACUCAAAGGAAUUGACGGGGGCCCGCAC
rnacentral:rRNA from 1 species